rnacentral:misc_RNA from 1 species
CGCUGGCUUUCUUUUAGAUAAUGCAUGUGCACAUCUAUCUUUUCUCAUGUUGAUCCCUCUUUCUCUUAUACACAUUAUACACACUUGUGCACCUAUUGUAGGCCCUCGAAAAGAGGAUCUAUGUUCUUUUUCUAUAACCCACACUUUUUAUUGUAUGUCCACAGAAUGUAUUAAGAAUCUGUCAAUCCUUCUUUGAAGGUGGCGAUUCAAUAAAUCUAUACAACUUUCAGCAACGGAUCUCUUGGCUCUCGCAUCGAUGAAGAACGCAGCGAAUUGCGAUAAGUAAUGUGAAUUGCAGAUUUUCAGUGAAUCAUCGAAUCUUUGAACGCACCUUGCGCUCCUUGGUAUUCCAGGGAGCAUGCCUGUUUGAGUGUCAUUGAAUUAUCAACCUUGCUUUGAUUAAUAUUUUAAAGCAUGGCUUGGAGUUUGGGAGUUUGCUGGUAUUAAAUAUAUAUAUUUUUU